AGUUCGAAAUUGAGAUUUAAUCUAAGUCAUUACGUGAUAAUUGAAGCAACCUACUUAACAACAAACUAUGUCGUUCAGGAAGACAUUCUAUGAAAGCAGUAAUUAUGUUUGGUUUAUUCACAAGAAACAUACAAACUCCUAUUUCUUCAUGUGGAUCAAGACCCAAACGAGCAAUCUCUUCAUACAGUUGGCUUUCUAGAACACGAGCUUGUGUAUUUGUUGUAAUUUUUUCGAUUGUUUUUGCAACUAGUCCAACUUACUGAGCCAGAUAAUCUUCCUAUGGGAUAGUAGGCAAAUAUUUCGAU
rnacentral:lncRNA from 1 species